UGAGUACGAGAUGCUACGGCAUUGAAGCAGUCUAUGUCAUACUUCCAAGAAAAGCUUGCACUGUCAUAAACAAAGAAUGCCUGUACCAUAACCGACACAGGUGGGUAGGUAGAGUAUACUAAGGGGCGCGAGAUAACCCUCUCUAAGGAACUCGGCAAAAUGACUCCGUAACUUCGGGAGAAGGAGUGCCUUAUUUUUAAGGUUGCAAUAACAAGAUCCAAGCAACUGUUUAUCAAAAACACAGGUCUCCGCUAAGUCGUAAGACGAUGUAUGGGGGCUGACGCCUGCCCGGUGCCAGAAGGUUAAAGAAGUUGGUUAGCAUUCGCGAAGCUGAUAACUGAAGCCCUGGUGAACGGCGGCCGUAACGAUAACGGUCCUAAGGUAGCGAAAUUCCUUGUCGGGUAAGUUCCGACCCGCACGAAAGGCGUAAUGAUUUGGAUACUGUCUCGGAGAGGGACUCGGUGAAAUAGACUUGUCUGUGAAGAUGCGGACUACCUGCACCUGGACAGAAAGACCCUAUGAAGCUUUACUGUAACUUGAAAUUGAAAUUGGACUUUAGUUGCGCAGGAUAGGUGGGAGGCGUUGAGAAUAUUCUUGCGGGAGUAUUGGAGCCAUCAGUGAGAUACCACUCUUCUAAUGUUAGAUUUCUAACUCUGUAUCAUUAUCUGGUCAAAGAACAGUUUCAGGCGGGCAGUUUGACUGGGGCGGUCGCCUCCUAAAGGGUAACGGAGGCGCACAAAGGUUUCCUCUGAACGAGUAGAAAUCGUAUCUAGAGUGUAAAGGCAUAAGGAAGCUUGACUGUGAGACCUACAAGUCGAGCAGGGACGAAAGUCGGUCUUAGUGAUCUGACGGUGCUGAGUGGAAAGGCCGUCACUCAACGGAUAAAAGUUACUCUAGGAUAACAGGCUGAUCUCCCCCAAGAGUUCACAUCGACGGGGAGGUUAGGCACCUCGAUGUCGGCUCAUCGCAUCCUGGGGCGGUAGUACGUCCCAAGGGUUGGGCUGUUCGCCCAUGAAAGCGGUACGCGAGCUGGGUUCAGAACGUCGUGAGACAGUUCGGUCCAUAUCCGGUGUAGGCGUUAGAAUAUUGAGAGGAGCCUUCUCUAGUACGAGAGGACCGAGAAGGACAUACCUCUAGUGUACCAGUUAUCGUGCCAACGGUAAACGCUGGGUAGCUAUGUAUGGAGUGGAUAACCGCUGAAAGCAUCUAAGUGGGAAGCCCACCUCAAGAUAAG
rnacentral:rRNA from 1 species